GGUGGGUCUAGUUUGGCUCACAGUAAAACUUCAUAAUCCCUGUCUUGUGUCCCCACACAGCCUGUAUAACCAACCACUGAUUCUGUUUUCUCCUCAAUGCAGAGUCGUACGGGCUGGGGAAUGACAUCAGAAUCUUUCUAUCUCUGGGGAUCCUUCUUGUGCUCUCAGUUAUUGUGGGGGAACACUUCAGGAGCAGACAGAGGAAACACCAUGGGGAUGACACCAAUGGACAAUAAACCGGCCCAUCCUUCAACGCUGUCCUUUAAUCUGCAGUGCAGGUGUAACACAUCUUGUAAUACGACACAAACAGCUCACACGUUACAAAGAAAUAUCCUGCGAGGAAAAGGAUUGAUCUACAAAAAGCACCACUUUGUGAAAGCAAAGUAAAAGUGUUGCUAUCUUGUGUUCUCUGAUAGCAUAUACAAGCUUAUUGUAAGGCUGCAUGACAUUUAGUUUCUGAGUUUCUGAAUUCAACAUUGCUGAUUUUAUAAAGUGUUACUGAACACCCUGCAGUGUUUACUAGAAACCCAAUACUUUGCUUUUGCUGUGUCUGUUUUUCAUACCUUCUUCAAUUUAUUUGUGUUUUUUUCACACCUUGUGGAAAUACAUUUCUCAGGAGUGUUUAUCAGGAGAAGAUCAUUUCUCUUCAAAUCAUCACAGUGUAUCCAGAUCAGGCUCCCGCUUGUAACAAAGCUGGUGCUCUGAAUGAGUGAUGAGUUGUGGGAACAGGAAAUUAGCAUUGUGACAAGAGGGAGCAUGAACUUGAUACACUGCAGAGGUGUUAAAACCAAUCCUCGCCCAGGACAACUGGAAGCUGCUAGAGACUGGAAUAUGCUGGCAGAUGUUGGUCAACGGCUUAUUUUUCCACCUGAGAUUGCCACCACUAACCUUCGACCAGAUAUUGUCUUGUGGUCUGGAUCAGCACGCCUUGUUCACCUGGUAGAGUUAACAGUGCCAUGGGAGGACGCUGUAGAUGAGGCGUAUGAGAGGAAGAAACUGCGGUAUGCUCAACUAGCCACUGAAGCGGAACAGCGAGGAUGGAGAGUUCGGGUUUACCCAGUGGAAGUGGGUUGUCGAGGAUUUGUGGCACACUCUACAACCCGGUUUCUCAGAGACGUCGGAUUCAGUGGCCAAGAGUUGCGUCGCACAGUGAAGAACUUAUCUGAAGCAGCAGAGAGGAGCAGCAACUGGCUGUGGUUGAGACGGAAAGAUUCUGGCUGGGGACAGGUAAGUAAGCUGGGCUGAGUUGAGUGGGGGACGGAGGGGGGUGAUGCUGGGACGCCAGAAUCACCGUCGAGCCCUCUUGAGGUGUCGUGGGCUAGUCGACGAAACACUGAGGAUGGAAGGUGCCCACUUGAAAACCCCAGAGAUGUACCCUACUUAGCUCAAUCCAGACGGUUGUCAUGCUGAUGCGCUGGGGAGGCCGCACUUUGGUUGAUCCCCGGAGCCAGCAUCGCAGCCGUUGUGUGUGCUGAUGCGCCAGGGAGGCAAAAUAAGCUGAUCCCUGGAGCCAGCAUUACACUUCAGCCAUUAACACCAGACAGAAGGAUAUCUACAUCAUCAUAUGGAAGGAAACGCAAAUGGAUGGAGACGCAUAUGGAUCACAUUAGUUUACUGUAAAGCUACGUCUUAGUUGGUGCUUAUCUUGGCGAGAGCCGAGUUCAAAUCAGCAUGAAGUUUUAACAUCUACUCUCGUGUAAUGGAAAUCAGGGUGAUUCAUAAUUCACACAACAAUGUCAGAGAUGUAUUAUGAUUGCCAUCUUGCACACUGAACUUACAGCACAGAGCUGCAUUGUGCUGCUAACAUUGCAGGGUUACUGUUAGCUUCAUUAGUCAAACACACUCUUUAUUAUGUAGAUGAAAAGGGCUUUUCUUUUGGUUAUGUUUAUUUUGUUGUGCAUAAUAAAAUAUUUUGAUCUAA